rnacentral:rRNA from 1 species
CUACGGGAGGCAGCAGUGGGGAAUCUUGGGCAAUGGGCGCAAGCCUGACCCAGCGACGCCGCGUGGGGGAUGAAGGCCUUCGGGUUGUAAACCCCUGUCAGGGGGGGCGAAAGCCUCUCGGUGAAUAGCCGGGAGGUCUGACAGUACCCCCAAAGGAAGCCCCGGCUAACUCCGUGCCAGCAGCCGCGGUAAUACGGAGGUGGCAAGCGUUGUCCGGAAUUAUUGGGCGUAAAGCGCGCGCAGGCGGUCCUUUAAGUCUGAUGUGAAAGCCCACGGCUCAACCGUGGAGGGUCAUUGGAAACUGGGGGACUUGAGUGCAGAAGAGGAAAGCGGAAUUCCACGUGUAGCGGUGAAAUGCGUAGAGAUGUGGAGGAACACCAGUGGCGAAGGCGGCUUUCUGGUCUGUAACUGACGCUGAGGCGCGAAAGCGUGGGGAGCAAACAGGAUUAGAUACCCUGGUAGUCCACGCCGUAAACGAUGAGUGCUAAGUGUUAGAGGGUUUCCGCCCUUUAGUGCUGCAGCUAACGCAUUAAGCACUCCGCCUGGGGAGUACGGCCGCAAGGCUAAAACUCAAAGGAAUUGACGG